rnacentral:lncRNA from 1 species
CCACCUCCGAACUGCACCAAUCCGGUGCGUAUUUGGGGUGCCCGUUGAUGAUAGUCGUCAUCGUCAGUCGGAAAAUCUCAGGAAAAUCUGCAUCCCUCGCACGGUUUGUUAUCAGUUUGUUAUCACCAUUCACUCUUAGUGGCGUUAUCGCUUUUUCGCUUUAUUCUAUUUAUGUCUAAAUCACUUUCCUGCGUAAAAUGGGCUGCAAGAACGAGUGUCAUGUCUUUAUUCGAAAUAUUUUUCAUUAAUUCGUUCUCAAAGAAUUUCCACUGCUUUGAUAUUUCGCAGUCACGAAAGUCCACAAUAUUUUCCUGCUUUAAACUUCUUCCGUACUCAACAUAAGUUCAUGUGUUUGCGUGUUAAUUCUAACCUCAAAAAGUUCACAAGGUCAGAUUUUCUUCGCUGUUCCUUGGCUCUCAUUCCAGUUUCAAGUAAAUUCGGGAUUAAUAGCAUCUUCAGUUCCAAUAUCAUCCUUAUGUGCGGCCUUUCACUCGUAAUCUACAACUGCUCUCUAAAUUCUACAGAAAAAUCUCUUUUUCGGGCCGCAAAAUUGGGGACUGCUGCAGAACUCAGAAGACUUCUUUAUGAAGAGAGGGUAAAUGUGAAUCAACGGCAUAUACUUGGUUGGACUGUAUUGCAAACGGCUGUUAUCAAUGGAAGAUCUGAAAUCGUAUCAAUUUUACUAGAGGCAGGAGCUGACCCAAACCUUCGCGAUGAAUUCACUUCCUUUCAUAAAAUGGCAGCAAAAACUGGACUUCAUCCUUAGAUGGUUUGUUGAUUCUGUUUUAUUAUUUGAUUUAAUUUAAUCCGGAAUGCUAGAAAAUA